UUUGCUGACGAGUGGCGGACGGGUGAGUAAUGUCUGGGAAACUGCCUGAUGGAGGGGGAUAACUACUGGAAACGGUAGCUAAUACCGCAUAACGUCGCAAGACCAAAGAGGGGGACCUUNGGGNCUCUUGCCAUCGGAUGUGCCCAGAUGGGAUUAGCUAGUAGGUGGGGUAACGGCUCACCUAGGCGACGAUCCCUAGCUGGUCUGAGAGGAUGACCAGCCACACUGGAACUGAGACACGGUCCAGACUCCUACGGGAGGCAGCAGUGGGGAAUAUUGCACAAUGGGCGCAAGCCUGAUGCAGCCAUGCCGCGUGUAUGAAGAAGGCCUUCGGGUUGUAAAGUACUUUCAGCGGGGAGGAAGGGAGUAAAGUUAAUACCUUUGCUCAUUGACGUUACCCGCAGAAGAAGCACCGGCUAACUCCGUGCCAGCAGCCGCGGUAAUACGGAGGGUGCAAGCGUUAAUCGGAAUUACUGGGCGUAAAGCGCACGCAGGCGGUUUGUUAAGUCAGAUGUGAAAUCCCCGGGCUCAACCUGGGAACUGCAUCUGAUACUGGCAAGCUUGAGUCUCGUAGAGGGGGGUAGAAUUCCAGGUGUAGCGGUGAAAUGCGUAGAGAUCUGGAGGAAUACCGGUGGCGAAGGCGGCCCCCUGGACGAAGACUGACGCUCAGGUGCGAAAGCGUGGGGAGCAA
rnacentral:rRNA from 1 species